UACGGGGGGGGUAAGCGUUGUUCGGAAUUACUGGGCGUAAAGGGCUCGUAGGCGGCCAACUAAGUCAUACGUGAAAUCCCUCAGCUUAACUGGGGAACUGCGUGUGAUACUGGAUGGCUUGGAUUUGGGAGAGGGAUGCGGAAUUCCAGGUGUAGCGGUGAAAUGCGUAGAUAUCUGGAGGAACACCGGUGGCGAAGGCGGCGUCCUGGACCAACACUGACACUGAUGAGCGAAAGCCAGGGGAGCAAACGGG
rnacentral:rRNA from 1 species